rnacentral:rRNA from 1 species
CCCCUAGAUGUUCUGGGCCGCACGCGCGCUACACUGAACAGUUCAACAAGUCUUAACCUUGGCCGAUAGGUCUGGGUAAUCUUUGAACGCUGUUCGUGAUUGGGAUAGACCUUUGCAAUCAUGGGUCUUCAACGAGGAAUUCCUAGUAAACGCAAGUCAUCAGCUUGCAUUGAUUACGUCCCUGCCCUUUGUACACACCGCCCGUCGCACCUACCGAUUGAAUGGUCCGGUGAAAUCUCGGGACGGCGGCUUGGUCGCUUGCGUCCGACUGCUGAAACUUGAUUAAACCAUAUCAUUUAGAGGAAGGUGAAGUCGUAACA